UCCGAUAUGGUGUAGUGGCUAACAUUAUCGCCUCUCAUUCCUUGAACGCGAUAGCCCGGGGUUCGAUUCCCCGUGUCGGAA